GUGCCAGCAGCCGCGGUACUACGGAGGGUGCAAACGUCGUUCGGAAUUAUUGGGCGUAAAGAGCAUGUAGGCGGUUGUUUAAGUCUGAUGUGAAAGCCCGGGGCCCAACCCAGGAAGUGCAUUGGAUACUGGAUAACUUGAGUACGUGAGAGGAAAGUGGAAUUUCGAGUGUAGGGGUGAAAUCCGUAGAUAUUCGAAGGAACACCAGUGGCGAAGGCGGCUUUCUGGACCGAUACUGACGCUGAGAUGCGAAAGCGGGGGGAGCAAGCAGGAUUAGAAACCCCAGUAGUCC
rnacentral:rRNA from 1 species